ensembl:lncRNA
UAUGAAUAUAUUUUAUUUCGUUUUAAAUGUUUUACUAACUACAUUUAAUACAAAUAUAUCUAUUAAUUUAGAGCAGUAUAUAUAUAACAUUCAUCAUUUUUAUAAUGAUAAUUUAUUGUAUGAUAUGAUUUUGAAUAACAUCGAAGAAGUUAUAAAAUGUAUAAAAAGUAGUUGUAAGUCUUCUUUUAAUUGUAUAUUUUCUGUUAUAUUAUAUUAUUUAGUUAAGUUUAAACGAAAUGAACAAAGGUGUUAUUACAGUAUAGGUGAUGAUAUGUUACAACAAGAGAAAGAACAAAACGACGAUAUAUUAUAUGAACAAAAGUUUAAUGUAAACAUAUAUGAAGGUAACACUACUAGCAAUAACAAAAAAUGUGUUGAAUCUAUUAAAUAUAAUGAUGUAUCAAGUAGAUACGUCGAUUUGAGUACAAAUACUAUACGUGAUGUAAUGAAUUAUAGCGUAGAAGGAAUAGAACAAGUGAAUAAUAUAAAAAUGAAAAGAAUGGACUGUUUUGUUGCAUAUGUGGAUAGUAGUAGUAGUAGUAGUAGUAGUAAUAGUAGUAGUAGUAGUAGUAGUAGUAAUAAUAGUAGUUAUAAUAAUAAUAAUAAUAUUAUUAUUAGUGGUGACAGUAGUAACAGUGGCAAUAGUAACAGUGACAGUAGUAACAGUGACAGUAGUAACAGUGACAGUAGCAAUAGUACCAGUAAUAUUCGAGGUAGUGGUAAUAGUAGUAGUAGUAGUAGUAGCAGUAGUAGUAGUAGUAGUAGUAGUAGUGGUAGCAGUAACACCAAGAAGAGCACUAAAAAAAAACUAAUGAAUAAAAUAGUAUUCGAUAUGGUAAUUCCAUAUUUGGAUGUAAAUAAUAUUAAAAUAUACAACAAAAUAUAUGAAUGUAAUCAUUAUAUAAAUGGCCUUAUUCAUAUAUGUUACUACUUUUUAUUUAAUGAUUUUAUAUAUUUUAAAAAAGCUUACCCUUAUGAUAUAAAAUUAAAAAAUGACGAAGAAGACGAAGAAAACGAAGAAGAUGAUGAAAAAGAUGUAAAAGAUGAAAAAGAUGAAACAGAUGAAAAAGAUGAAACAGAUGAAAAAGAGGAAGAAAAGGAAACAGGAACGAAAGAGGGGGAAGUAAAAAAUGGAGGAAAUGGAGGAAAUGGAGGAAAUGCAGGAAAUGAAGGAAAUGCAGGAAAUGGAGGAAAUGCAGGAAAAGUAAAAAAAAAGGAGAAAGAAAAAGAAGGGGCUUCGGAGAUAAAAAGAACAGCAGAUUUAGGAAAAACAGAAGAACAAAACUGGAUUAUAAAAGAAAAGAAACUAAUAAAAAAAGAAAUAAAUAAUAACACAUUAGAUAUUUUUGAUUUAAGAAUGAAAGAAAUAAAACCCGUGGAAUUGUUUUUAUCAUUUUUUAUUAAUCAUUAUAUUCAAAGUAUAAAUUUAAAUAUCAACAGAAUGGUAGAUUUUAAUAAUUAUAUGAAUCAGUUUUUUUGGGUAAUAUAUAAAAGACAAAUCACAAUAAACAAUUAUGACUAUAUGUUCCUUAACUAUCAUGUUAAUAAUUAUUAUUUCAAAU